rnacentral:miRNA from 1 species
UAUUGGAAUGCGGUUCAUGGGC